GGGCGGGUAGCUCAGCUGGAUAGAGUGUUGGCCUCCGAAGCCAAAGGUCGUGAGUUCGAAUCUCAUCCCGCCCACCA
rnacentral:tRNA from 1 species